GAUUGGAAACUCAGUUUCCUGAAACAGGUAUAGACCCCUCAGUGUCUGUGACCUUGGAUCAAGCCAUAGCCUCAGAGCCCAGAGCCAACAGCCCCUGACAAGAGAAUACAGGGGGAGGGGCUGGACGUCUGUAUGAGAAGGAGGCACCUUGGAUGUACCUAGAAGCUGGUUUUUCAUCUUGGAACACAGUCGAAUGUCAGUCCAACCAGGUACACUUGCUCAACUAGGAUCAACGAUGCUCAACCAAGUUCCCUGCCCUCUGAG